GGGGGACCUCGAGUGCCUUGGUACACCAAGGCUGUCGUUAUGUCUAAAACCAUGAUAUAGCAAGGGCCGGGCAAGACCGGUGCCAGCCGCCGCGGUAACACCGGCGGCUCGAGUGGUAACCGUUAUUAUUGGGUUUAAAGGGUCUGUAGCCGGCCGGAUAAGUCUCUUGGGAAAUCUGGCAGCUUAACUGUCAGGCUUUCAGGAGAUACUGUUCGGCUCGAGACCGGGAGAGGUGAGAGGUACUUCAGGGGUAGGGGUGAAAUCUUGUAAUCCUUGAAGGACCACCAGUGGCGAAGGCGUCUCACCAGAACGGAUCUGACGGCAAGGGACGAAAGCUAGGGGCACGAACCGGAUUAGAUACCCGGGUAGUCCUAGCCGUAAACAAUACUCGCUAGGUGUCGGCCACGGUGCGACCGUGGUCGGUGCCGUAGGGAAACCGUGAAGCGAGCCACCUGGGAAGUACGGCCGCAAGGCUGAAACUUAAAGGAAUUGGCGGGGGAGCACCACAACGGGUGGAGCUUGCGGUUUAAUUGGAUUCAACGCCGGGAAGCUUACCGGGAUCGACAGCGAUAUGAAGGCCAGGCUGAAGACCUUGCCGGAUUAGCUGAGAGGAGGUGCAUGGCC
rnacentral:rRNA from 1 species